UUGCUUGGUUUGGCAGCACAUGUACUAAAAUUGGAAUGAAACAGAGAAGAUUAGCAUGGCCCCUGCACAAGGAUGACAUGCAAAUAUGUGAAGUGUUCCAUAUUUAU
rnacentral:snRNA from 1 species